AACGAACGCUGGCGGCAUGCCUAACACAUGCCAGUCGAACGAGACCGUCGGUUCGAGUGGCGAACGGGUGCGUAACGCGGGGGAACCUGCCCGUAGGUUCGGAAUAACUCCCCGAAAGGGGUGCUAAUACCGGGUAAUGUCUGCGGACCAAAGAUUUAUCGCCUUUGGCUGGGCCCGCGUUGGGUUAGCUGGUUGGGAGGGUAAAAGCCUACCAAGGCGACGAUCCAUAGCUGGUCUGAGAGGAUGCUCAGCCACACUGGGACUGAGACCCGGCCCCGACUCCUACGGGAGGCAGCAGUGGGGAAUCUUGGACAAUGGGCGAAAGCCUGAUCCAGCAAUGCCGCGUGAGUGAUGAAGGCCUUAGGGUUGUAAAGCUCUUUUACCCGGGAUGAUAAUGACAGUACCGGGAGAAUAAGCUCCGGCUAACUCCGUG
rnacentral:rRNA from 1 species